GAUGAACGCUGGCGGCGUGCCUAAUACAUGCCAGUCGAGCGAACAGACGAGGAGCUUGCUCCUUCGACGUUAGCGGCGGACGGGUGAGUAACACGUAGGUAACCUACCUAUAAGACUGGGAUAACUUCGGGAAACCGGAGCUAAUACCGGAUAAUAUUUCGAACCGCAUGGUUCGAUAGUGAAAGAUGGCUUUGCUAUCACUUAUAGAUGGACCUGCGCCGUAUUAGCUAGUUGGUAAGGUAACGGCUUACCAAGGCAACGAUACGUAGCCGACCUGAGAGGGUGAUCGGCCACACUGGAACUGAGACACGGUCCAGACUCCUACGGGAGGCAGCAGUAGGGAAUCUUCCGCAAUGGGCGAAAGCCUGACGGAGCAACGCCGCGUGAGUGAUGAAGGUCUUCGGAUCGUAAAACUCUGUUAUUAGGGAAGAACAAACGUGUAAGUAACUGUGCACGUCUUGACGGUACCUAAUCAGAAAGCCACGGCUAACUACGUG
rnacentral:rRNA from 1 species